rnacentral:rRNA from 1 species
AUGAACGCUAGCUACAGGCUUAACACAUGCAAGUCGAGGGGCAGCAUGGUCUUAGCUUGCUAAGGCCGAUGGCGACCGGCGCACGGGUGAGUAACACGUAUCCAACCUGCCGUCUACUCUUGGACAGCCUUCUGAAAGGAAGAUUAAUACAAGAUGGCAUCAUGAGUCCACAUGUUCACAUGAUUAAAGGUAUUCCGGUAGACGAUGGGGAUGCGUUCCAUUAGAUAGUAGGCGGGGUAACGACCCACCUAGUCUUCGAUGGAUAGGGGUUCUGAGAGGAAGGUCCCCCACAUUGGAACUGAGACACGGUCCAAACUCCUACGGGAGGCAGCAGUGAGGAAUAUUGGUCAAUGGGCGAGAGCCUGAACCAGCCAAGUAGCGUGAAGGAUGACUGCCCUAUGGGUUGUAAACUUCUUUUAUAAAGGAAUAAAGUCGGGUAUGGAUACCCGUUUGCAUGUACUUUAUGAAUAAGGAUCGGCUAACUCCGUGCCAGCAGCCGCGGUAAUACGGAGGAUCCGAGCGUUAUCCGGAUUUAUUGGGUUUAAAGGGAGCGUAGAUGGAUGUUUAAGUCAGUUGUGAAAGUUUGCGGCUCAACCGUAAAAUUGCAGUUGAUACUGGAUAUCUUGAGUGCAGUUGAGGCAGGCGGAAUUCGUGGUGUAGCGGUGAAAUGCUUAGAUAUCACGAAGAACUCCGAUUGCGAAGGCAGCCUGCUAAGCUGCAACUGACAUUGAGGCUCGAAAGUGUGGGUAUCAAACAGGAUUAGAUACCCUGGUAGUCCACACGGUAAACGAUGAAUACUCGCUGUUUGCGAUAUACGGCAAGCGGCCAAGCGAAAGCGUUAAGUAUUCCACCUGGGGAGUACGACCGCAAGGUUGAAACUCAAAGGAAUUGACGGGGACCCGCACAAGCAGUGGAGUAUGUGGUUUAAUUCGAAGAUACGCGAAGAACCUUACCAGGGCUUGACAUCCCUCUGACCGCGCUAGAGAUAGCGUUUCUCUUCGGAGCAGAGGUGACAGGUGGUGCAUGGUUGUCGUCAGCUCGUGCCGUGAGGUGUCGGCUUAAGUGCCAUAACGAGCGCAACCCUUGUUGUCAGUUACUAACAGGUUCCGCUGAGGACUCUGACAAGACUGCCAUCGUAAGAUGUGAGGAAGGUGGGGAUGACGUCAAAUCAGCACGGCCCUUACGUCCGGGGCUACACACGUGUUACAAUGGGGGGUACAGAGGGCCGCUACCACGCGAGUGGAUGCCAAUCCCAAAAACCUCUCUCAGUUCGGACUGGAGUCUGCAACCCGACUCCACGAAGCUGGAUUCGCUAGUAAUCGCGCAUCAGCCACGGCGCGGUGAAUACGUUCCCGGGCCUUGUACACACCGCCCGUCAAGCCAUGGGAGCCGGGGGUACCUGAAGUGCGUAACCGCGAGGAGCGCCCUAGGGUAAAACUGGUGACUGGGGCU